rnacentral:lncRNA from 1 species
GUUCCUUCCCACUCAGCCGCAGCAGGAACUCCCUGCUCAUUUUGGAUGAAAUGAGACAUACUGGUGGGCUCUUUCCAGCGGGGAGGUACUGUGGUGGACUUGGCGGCUCAGUGAAAAAGUCAGAGUUUUGUUGCUGCCCGACAAGCAGGCCUGUAAUUUCGGUUUUGCCCCAGGCUGCUGUCCCUGGCUCCUUGGCCAUGAGUCUGGGCCUGACUCCUGAGGCCUGAGCUCUGAGGUGGGUCCUGAUGGGGAGGGAAGGCGACGAUCUUCACAAAGCCUGAAGGGUUUCCUGAAACCGGGACUGGGGUGCUGGUGCUUCCUCCACCGGGGGGUUCGGGAGCACAUCUUUAGCCCUGGUGAAUUCUUUUUUUUUCACCUGCAGCAUAUGGAAGUUCCCGGGUUAGGGGUCGAAUUGGAGCUGCAGCUGCCUGCCUCCACCAGAGCCACAGCAAUGCAGAGUCCCAGCCAUGCCUGUGACCUACCGCACAGCUCACAGCAACGCUGGAUCCUUAACCCAUUGAGCGAGGCCAGAUUUUGAACCCGUGUCCUUAAGGAGACUAGUCAGGUUCGUAACUUGCUGAGCCACAAUGGGAACUCCCCUGGUCUGCCAGUAUGGUUUAUAUUCCUACUGUGGACAUAGGUAACUUGUCCAGGUUGGAGUGAAAAAGAGGGUACAUCCAAUUUUAAUAUUCUAAAUAAAUGGCUGGGGCCUAUUGUGAGAUUGUCCUUUUCUCUAGUUUAAAGUCUUUCCUACCUGGCUGUGGUGGCUCCUGCCCGCCCUCCACUGCUCUCCUGCUGCCUCUUCCUCUCCCCAGGGCCUAGAACCUUCUUUCCCCAGGGGCUGGUCAACGCCCUGGGAGGCUGCAGAACCAUGGUUCUCUGAAAUGUCACAGCUCAGGAAGAGGGGGCCCCGUGCCUGGCUUCUCUCUGGCUCCCUGGAUAUUCUGAAAUUAACAACACAUAUGACUUGAACCCGGGAGAACCCAGACUGGGACCUAAACCCACAGUUUUCUAAGUAGAAUCACUCACCUGGUGUCUGGACUUUCUGAGGUUCAGGCUCUUUGUGUCCAGCUCAGAAGGAAUUCGGCGAGAGACAAAGUGAUAGGCAAGAAAUAGAUUUACUAAAGUAGGAUGCUUGUGAGGGAUACAGGCGGGCAGGUGAGGAGGCGCUGCCCUGGGGAGCAGGUGGGCUACGUUUCUGGAAUCCAAGGAGAGCGGGAGGGGGAAAACCGCCUUCUUCCUCUUUCUUCUCGUGGACGCCAGACUCACAGCCUUAGCUCCUCCUUCGUAUCUGGUCAGAGUAUCUGACCCUCUGAGGUCAAACCAGAACUGUCCCGGUGCUUCUUCGAAUUCGCAGAAGGUGGUACCAGAGGCUAACAUGUGGAAGCAUCUCAGGUUUCUGUACAGCGAGGGGUCUCCUACUUUGGAAGGAAGGUCAUCUUUCCCUUCAAUUCCUGCCCUUGGCUCUAAGGAGCAUUAUCUCGCUGAACUUGAACGCAGGCCUCAUUUUAUCUUUCACUUAAUGACUUGAGGCAUAGCUCAUGCUUUUAUUCAUGGUUUUAAGCAAGUCUGCUUCCUGCCGAUGGCUUUCUUGGGUGUUUAUUAACUCACAGUGUCUCCCAAAGUCCCCUGGGUUUCCCUCUCUAGCUCUGGUCCCUAUCGGGACGCCUAUAAUGACCUUAUCUACCCCAGCCUGUCAAUUCCACUCCAGAGGCCUUGGAAUUCCUCUUCACCAGGACCUUCUGAACUCCGAUUUCAGCAAAUUUUAACUUUAAAAAUACUGGUUUCAAGAACCUGCGCCUCCUUGCUUUGGGGAGGCUCUGUCGUCCAUGUCACAUUUACCCGCCAUGCUUCCUAACGACGUCUCCGCUUGGGAAAAAAUACACAAAAAUAGCAAUUUCAGCUUGCCGCACCUGCUAGGGAGAGUCUAGCAGGCAUUCAGGUUUGUGGUGUAUGUUAGUGCGUUUCCAUCCACGUCUCCGGAGCACUGGCAAAGGCAGGAAGUGCCAAGACGGCCUGACCUGGAGGCUGCACCUGAGGUCGCCAGCCGGGCACAGCGACCAUAAGGUCCACACCAACAACAACAACAAAAAAAACAAAACCCAAAUUCUCCAUUUAAUAGUCCUUUGAGUUCUCUCUUUCAAAUGACUUUUUGGUGAUAGUUUGAAUUAUCGUUCAAACUUACUUGAACGAAAUUAUUGUUCAAAUACCUCUUUCUUUCCCUUUCCUGUGUGGGUGAAGUUUAUUUUCCUGACUCGUUGUUGCUUCUCCUGUAUCCUCACAUAUGUUUUUCUAUAGCCAUGGAAUGUUAGUGGACAGGUCUUAAAUGAGCCUGUACCUUUUGGCUUUUCUGCUUUGGGAAUCUUCCAUUUAAAGAGCCUGCUGCAGAUAGCGUGGCCCCUUCAGCUUGGAUUCUGGGGUGAACACACAUGGGAGCAGACCUGAAUCCAACUCAUAGCAGCUAGAGGAGUCUGUUUUAGUGGAGUGAAGGCAAACUCGUGUAAGAAGCUGCUGGGCUUUGAGAUAGGCUCGCAGCAGUAUUUUGACAAUAUAACUCAUUCAGAUGCUCUUGCAAUGGAUGUAUCAGAAUUUCUCUCUAAAAGCAGCAAUCUGUUAGGAAUAUGGGACGAGGGAAAUUAUCUUGAAGUCGGAUUUACUGAGCAAGGACACUGCUUUUAUUUAGUUUGUCUUUCAGAACCCAAUUAUUUUUAACUUGGAACAUUUUCAGAAUAAUUCUUACCAACUGGCCAUCUUGACAGUAAAAGCUACAAGCAUGGCCCCGUGCAGCAUGGGGAACUGCAAAAUAUCCACCCAUGAGAGCUGGAGCUUAGUCCUCGCCUUGUGAAUGUUGGAGAUUGUCAACCAAAACAAACUUUUAGCUUAUCUGAUCUUAAGCUGCUCUUUUUGAUUCUAGUUAGUCAACAGUUUCAGCUGCUGAAGUUUUCCCACGGAACAAUGUUAUAAUGAGUUGGAUAAUUGGAAGUUGUGUUCCCGACCAAGGACUCAGCAGCAAAUAAAUCAUAGAUAUAACCAACCAUAUGUCACACAGACAAGAUACAACCCCCAUAAACCCUCCAGAAUCAUUUGAAUUAGCAAAAUGAUGACCUCGGGCCCAUGAAAGGGGCAAGACUUUGCAAAGAGCAUAAAAUACAGGCCUAAUGUAUCAUAAAUUUGGCCAAUAUGAAACUAAUAGAUAGCUAUUGUAAACUUGGAAUUAACACGUUUGUAGAAUGAUGUCUAUGGCCUGGGUCGUCAAGGAAGGAAAAGCAAUCUUACUGUCACAGUAAGUUUCGUGGAUGCAUCCUUUAUCCCUCAAUGAAUUCCGUGGCCGUAAAUACCUCAGGUAAAAGCCAAUAUUGUUUCUUGAAAGGCAGGACCUUGGGGAAAAGUGUUUAGGACAGAAACACCAAUCAUCUUAAACGGCACUGUGGAUGUUUCCGUCUGUCGCCAUAGAUAAUUAGCUGACACCUGUGAGGAGUGUACACACACACACGCACAUACACGCACACCCAUUCCCUCCUGAAACUUACUUUGGCGUCCGGUCUUGAACACGGGGGUGUGAAAAGCAACCCCAGCAAAACUCCGUUUCGUGGUUCCUUUAUGCCAGUGGCUCUUAAAUAACAUGAUUUUUGUUGACAUUGAGUAAUGUCUGGAAACAUUUUUGAUUGUCCAAACUGGGUGGUACCACUGACCUCUAGCAGGUGCUGCCAAACAUCCUACCACACACAGGACAGGGCCCAACGGCAAGGACUUGUUGGGCCCUAAAUGUCAACAUUGCCAAUGUUGAAAGCCCUGGCUUUACACAAAGGAUCGUGUUGUAGAGAAAAAGGUGGAUUCUGCCAUUCAGCGUAAGCGGAUAAUUCUUUUUUUUUAAGGGCUUCACCCGAGGCAUAGGGAGGUUCCCAGGUGAGGGGUCGAAUCAGAGCUACAGCUGCCGGCCUGCGCCACAGCCACAGCCAUGCCAGAUCUGAGCCACAUCUGCGACCUACACCACAGCUCACGGCAACGCCAGAUCCUUAACCCACGAGCGAGGCCAGGGGUCGAACCUGCUUCCUCAUAGAUGCCAGUCAGGUUUGCUAACCCCUGAGCCACGCCGGGAACGCCGGGAUGACUUCCGCUAAUCUACUGCAUUGCCACCAGCAGCCCUGGGUCAGCUGGACAAGAAAGCAGCUUCCUCACAGAGACCCGGCUCGUGAAGGUGGUUUAAUGAGUAUUUGUUAAGUAAUUAAAUCAGUGAAUGGGAAGGAGGAGGAAGAGUAAGAAGGAAAGGAAGAAGGGGAAAAGGAAGCAGAUGGUGCCAAGGCCGAAGUUUGGUGAACCUGCUUCUCUUCCAUCUACUGCCUCCCAGAAAAUCAGUAGGCAUGGGGUCGGCUAAAAUAUACUGCUUACUAAUUACUGCCAUUAACGGCUUAUCAUAUUUAACUUAUUGUGUUAGUGGUAAUUAAAGGACUUAAAGUAUAAUCAACAAUCACUAUACAAUUGUUCUUGCAGCAGCUCACAAAUAAAUAGAAGAUUUUUAAGGAGUUCCCGUCGUGGCUCAGCAGUUAACAAACCUGGCUAGUAUGCAUGAGGAUGCGAGUUCAAUCCCUGGCCUUGCUCAGUGGGUUAGCGAUCCGGCAGUGCUGUGGCUGUGGUGCAGGCCAGCAGCUGAGGCUCUGAUUUGACCCUAGCCUGGGAACUUCCAUGUGCCACGGGUGCAGCC